GUUGAACGCUGGCGGCGGGCUUAACACAUGCAAGUCGAACGGAUGAGGCGAGCUUUCGUCUGGUUUUAGCGUCGGGCGCGGGUGUAAUACCCAUGAGUCUCCCUGGCUUUACUUUAGGACAACCUUAGGCGAGCGGGAAUAAUACAUGCGUCCUGAUUCUGCAGGAUGGGGGUGGUCGGACAGUACGCUCGGAGGUGACCCUAGGUCGGGCUAGCUAGUUGGUUGGGUAAGUGGCUACCUAGGCGACGAUCCGUGGCUGGACUGAGAGGAUGAUUGAUCACACUGGAACUGAGACACGGUCCAGACUCCUACGGGAGGCAGCAGUGGGGAAUAUUGGGCAAUGGGCGAAAGCAUGAUCCAGCCAUGCCGCGUGUGUGACGAAGGUCUUCGGAUUGUAAAGCACUUUAAGUUGGGAGGAAGGGCAGUAAGUUAAUACCUUGCUGUUUUGACGUUACCAACAGAAUAAGCACCGGCUAACUUCGUG
rnacentral:rRNA from 1 species